CACAAAUUAGAAUCAAUGGGAAAAAAAAACAACAACAAAUAGACAAAUCAAUGUUUAUUCCAUUUUGCAUUUUUAUUCCAUUGUUGAACCUAGAGAUGUCUGAGUUCCGCUCCCCGUGCAACUGAUACUCGACUGCCAUUGGCUCAUCUGCGUUCGAGGGGAGGGGCUUACCGACAGGUGAAUUGUGUAUUUCAGAUGCUGUCACAUCCUAUAAACUCGUCUUCUGCAGAGAGAAACUGCCACUCAAUCACACCAAAAUACACAUAAUGAUAGACUUACAGGCAUCAUAGUGGAUUAUGAAAAUAAAGUAUUUCAUUAGAACUUGGUCUUUAUUUCACUAUUUUCUGUUUCUGUUUUGCUUUACUUCAAUGUUAAUUGUAAUUUAUUAAUGUAUUCAGCUAAUAACUUUUGUUAAAGCACUGUAAUUUUUGCUACAAUUUCACGUCAUUAAAAAAUAAAAGUACCUAAUUGACAUGUUGUUGUUGUUUUUAUGCAAAACUCUUAACAGACGCUACAAGAUAUUGUAGAUAUAGAGGCAGAUAGAGGGAUAAAAAAAGAAUAUUCAUGAAUAAUAUAUACAAAUUAUAUAAAUAAUACUAAUAUUAUAAUAUAAAUAAACUAAUAUUAAUAAAAAAUAAACCAUCAUUAAAAAGGUUAUUUAUAACAUCAUUAAGGUUCUAUAUAUAGUACUAUAUACCAUUUAUUUUAACGCAAGAAGAACAAACAUAAGUAUAACAUAAACAAGAAAACGUUUUAGGGCCGGGCAGAACACUCAACAUAACACGGGACAUCAAACGCCAUGCUGGAGACGAUCUUUCACAAAAACGCUCCCUCAGAAAAGUCUCAGAGGCAUUUAACUGUGUCAGGUGUGUCAGCCACGCGCCCUCCACCUGGCACCUAAAAAUCACACACAACCAAACACGUCCAAGGUAGACUGGGACGUCACAAUAGCACUUUCAAAGCAAGGUUAUUUAUGGAACCCUAUAAAAAGUGUUCUAUUUAGCACCAAAAAGGUUCUGCUGUUGUUACAAGCUGAAGAACCCUUUUCUGUUUCUGUUUAGAACCAUUUUUCUUAAGAGUGUAGGGGAAUUUACAGUUAAAACCCAAGGACCAGGUAUGAUGAAAGAAGACCAGGAGUCAAGAGAUGAAGUCAACUGAAGAAAAGUUUACAGAAGAAAAUAGUUUGCAGUUUCAUCAGCAGAAAUCAGCUUCAAUACUCUCAAGGAGUUCGUAGGCCGCUCUGCGUACUUGCUAAAGACACCACCGAUUCUACUCUAACAGAGGUUUCUAAUUACGUCAAAGCACAGGUAGCACUUGGGCAGUCACAGUGACCCUGAGAGAAUAAACAAAACCUAGUUACACAUUCCAACUUCUCACUAAGGGAGAGAAAGUUAUUAAUAUACAUAUUUUCAAUGUCUACUCACUGGUGCAUGGUAAAUAAUAAUUGUAUUCAAUCAACUAACAAUCUAUGAGGUUACAUACUGAUUAAUAACUUGAUCAAUAAUCACGGAAAAGGAUAAUUCAUAUAUUUUAGGAAGGCCGUGAUGAAUCCAGGAUUCCACUCCUUCAGUGUUCACUAGAUCCAGGAUUUCUCUGUUUCACUUCUCUCUCUCUCUGAUCUCCAGCUGCUUCUCUCGUUCAUCCAGAUUUCUCUCUCUUUUAUCCAAUUCCUCGACUCCUCUAUCCAGUUCUCUCUCUUUCUCACACAGCUCCUUUUUCUUUGACUUGUAUUUCUUCCUCUCUCUGGAUCAUAUCACAUUCUGAUUGUUAUUUGAACGGUAGAAACAGUUCUUUUGCUGCAGUCAGAUUACUGUUUUUUAUUUUCUUUGAGCUGUCCUUUUUUUUUUGUCUCUCUGAAGUUUAAUUCUGUCAUCUUUAAAGUGUCUCUCUUUGUCUUUGUAAAUGAUCAUCUAUUGUUUUAGCUUCUCCCUGUUUUAGCUUUUCACUGUUUUUGAGAGCAGCCAACUUUUUUUUUUUGUAAAUGUUCAGCUCUUGUUUUAGCUUCUGUAAGUCCUCCUCCUUCUGGUUUUCACUGCUUUUGAGAGCAUCCAACUCACUGCGUAGCUGUUUUUCUGUGUCUUUGGACUCAGCCAGUUUAUUAUGCUCAUCCUUGAUUCUUGUAUCUUUCUUUGCGUCUAGUUCUUUCAUAUCAUUAAUUUCCUUUAGAUUUUCAACACUUUUUUUAUUUUCUGCCAAUUCUAUCCUCAGUUUAUUCUCCUUUUUCUUAUACUCCGCUUCAAAAUAAUUUUCAGCUAUUCUGAAAAUUUCCCAAUUAUUUGUGAAAAAAUUGCUGCUUUUCCACUGUGUCAUUGCCUCUUGUUUUUUAAAUAACAGAUUAAGAUUUUCUUCAGUGUUCUGUAAGAUGUGGUAUCUGCCUCCACACAUCUGCAAACAGGUGUUCUUUAUUGGAUCAUUGUGCCUAGCCUCAUCUAUAAAUAAUACCAUGCAGUAGUCCAAGACCUCCUUCCCGAACACAUCACUGAGAGCUUUUAAAAGAUAAUACUCACUACCAGAGUUUUUCACAUCUCUGUGUACUAACAGAAAGGCAUUAGUUCCCGGAAACGACAGCAAUUCAAAGUACUGCAGGUCAUUUUUUAGAGAUUUAACUCCAUUGCUGAGAAUGUAGUAUGAUUCCAAGUGUUCCAGCCAAUAGGAUGGAGUUUUUAAUACUGAAACCUCUCGUCCACAAACGUAAGCUGUUUUCGGCUUGAGUAUUCCAAAUUUAAAUGCAUCCCCAUUCUCUCUUUCUCCCAGGAUUGUGCCACAUGCUUUAUCCAUAAGAUCAUCAUCACCUCCAAGCACCAUAAACCUCAGCUGAUCAUUGGAUCCUCUAGAGCAGCCAGCUUCAUCUGUCAAUGUUUUAUCAUCAUUGUUCAAGAGAAGACCUGUAAUAAGAAAAUAAAACAGUGUGACAACAGCCGGAUUUCUACAUUAAACCCUAAAAUUCAU
ensembl:lncRNA